rnacentral:rRNA from 1 species
UGGGGAAUAUUGGACAAUGGGCGAAAGCCUGAUCCAGCCAUGCCGCGUGUGUGAAGAAGGUCUUCGGAUUGUAAAGCACUUUAAGUUGGGAGGAAGGGCAGUAAAUUAAUACUUUGCUGUUUUGACGUUACCGACAGAAUAAGCACCGGCUAACUCUGUGCCAGCAGCCGCGGUAAUACAGAGGGUGCAAGCGUUAAUCGGAAUUACUGGGCGUAAAGCGCGCGUAGGUGGUUCGUUAAGUUGGAUGUGAAAUCCCCGGGCUCAACCUGGGAACUGCAUUCAAAACUGACGAGCUAGAGUAUGGUAGAGGGUGGUGGAAUUUCCUGUGUAGCGGUGAAAUGCGUAGAUAUAGGAAGGAACACCAGUGGCGAAGGCGACCACCUGGACUGAUACUGACACUGAGGUGCGAAAGCGUGGGGAGCAAAAGC